rnacentral:lncRNA from 13 species
GUGUGUGUGUUUAGGUUAAGUGGCGGUGUGCAUAGCCAGGAGAGGGACUGGAGGUCCUGGUGUGGAUGAAGUGGAGGUCUCUGUCGGUAACAUGCCUCCCAUCGUGACUGAGCCCACAGUGAUCCGCUGUGAUGGCAUAUUGACCUGGACACCACUCGACAUCCAGCUCGUCUACCUGGCCAUCAGAGUUAAUGACCAGCUGUUCAGCUCUCAGUUCACCCUCAUCCUGCAGGUGUGCAACUGCCUCAACGGUGGCACCUGCCAAUACGACAGCAUAGUGAACAACCAUCUGCAGGGGAGAUUUCAGGUAAACAAAUGCAGACAUACAUAGACAGACAGGCAAAACAAUGUGGGGAGCACUUCUAUAUGGACUUGGGUGUUUUCUCCCAGAGCACAGUAUAGUCCUGGGUUUUGAGUGUGAGAUGAUAUUCCCAUGCCGAUCAACCCACACACCC